rnacentral:misc_RNA from 1 species
UUGAAGAAGAAGUUGGAAAGCUCAAGGAUAAAAAACAAAUCGUUGAGCACACUGUGGAGGAAGCUGUUAGGCGCAAUCCAGUAGAAGUUGAAGCUGUUGUUAAGAGUUGGUUUGAUAAAGUGAAUGAUGUCACUAAAGAUGCUAGUAAAAUUCUUCCUCGACGUGAAGACAAAUCAAAAGAGGAGGGAAAAGCGAACAAUCAAAGGUGCUUCAUGGGAUUGUGUCCU